UCUGAGAUGGUAGGGGUUAAAGGUGGGCCUCUGCGGAAGCAAGCUCAUGCCAGGGGAGGGGGCUGCGGCCUAUCAGGUAGUUGGUGGGGUAAUGGCCCACCAAGCCUAUGACGGGUAGCCGGCCUGAGAGGGUGACCGGCCCGAGGGGCACUGAGACACGGGCCCCACUCCUACGGGAGGCAGCAGGCUAGAAAAUUGGGCAAUGGGGGAAACCCUGACCCAGCGACGCCGCGUGCGGGAAGAAGCCCUUCGGGGUGUAAACCGCUGUCGUGCGGGACGAAGGGCCCAUAGGUGAACAAUCUAUGGGCUUGACGGUACCGCAGGAGGAAGCCCAGGCUAACCUCGUGCCAGCAGCCGCGGUAAUACGGGGUGGGCGAGCGUUGCCCGGAAUUACUGGGUUUAAAGGGGGUGUAGGCGGCCAGGAAAGUCAGGUGUGUAAUCCAACCGCUCAACGGUUGGGCUGCAUCUGAUACUUCCUGGCUAGAGGGCGUUAGAGGAGAGCGGAACUCCCGGUGUAGCGGUGAAAUGCGUAGAUA
rnacentral:rRNA from 1 species